AAGAGAGAGAUUAGUUUUCUAAACCCAUCGCAAAGUGAAGGGAUAGCUGAUUGUCAUCCCAUUUUUGAGACCUCAGUCAUCCUUCUGCGUGCAUCACCACAACUAAGAGGAAGGAAAGAGCACUGGAUGUGGAGUGAGGAGACAUGGAUUCUGUCACUACCCUGCUCUGCAGAACCCAAUAGUAUGUCAUUGAAACAAAACAAUACAAAACCCUGUCUACAAAAGAAGACUCAUAGGUCAACAAUAACUCGGGUUUCAUAAAGGAAGAAAGUCUUAGAGGAGGAAAAUCAACCCAUUCAAAUACAGGAGCAUCUGCUUAACACAAGACGGAACGAACCCCGCUGCCAGACCGGUGGUGUGGGCAGGCGAAUGUGUGCGUGUGCAUAGGAACAAGCCUAUAUAUGGAUGAGACAUUAGUGGCAACGAGAGGAGAGCCACCACGAUUGACAAAGCCACAACUAUUACGAUUUGAAAUAUCCCCCGCAGGCACUGACUUUUGGUGCCAGAAUCUCCCCGGAUUUAUUUUCAGGCAAGUGACUCACAACCUGGUCUCCAUAAGUAAUUCCAUUAAAAUGAGUCGCCGGUUCCACUA
rnacentral:lncRNA from 1 species